rnacentral:rRNA from 1 species
CAAUAGCGUAUAUUAAAGUUGUUGCAGUUAAAAAGCUCGUAGUUGAACUUUGGGCCUGGCAGGCCGGUCCGCUUUUUGGCGAGUACUGACCCUGCCGGGCCCUUCCUUCUGGCUAACCUCCCCUCUGGAGAGGCGAACCAGGACUUUUACUUUGAAAAAAUUAGAGUGUUCAAAGCAGGCCUUUGCUCGAAUAUAUUAGCAUGGAAUAAUAGAAUAGGACGUUUGGUUCUAUUUUGUUGGUUUCUAGGACCAUCGUAAUGAUUAAUAGGGACGGUCGGGGGCAUCAGUAUUCAGUUGUCAGAGGUGAAAUUCUUGGAUUUACUGAAGACUAACUACUGCGAAAGCAUUUGCCAAGGACGUUUUCAUUAA